rfam:Salmo salar isolate Sally breed double haploid chromosome ssa17, whole genome shotgun sequence.
UAGCUCAGUUGGUAGAGCAUGGUGUUUGCAACGCCAGGGUUGUGGGUUUGAUUCCCAU